GCACUGCUGACGGGUCCCUAACAGGACGAAACAAAUGUCCAGUGC
rnacentral:hammerhead_ribozyme from 1 species